rnacentral:rRNA from 1 species
AUCUGGCUCAGGAUGAACGCUAGCUACAGGCUUAACACAUGCAAGUCGAGGGGCAUCAGUUUGGUUUGCUUGCAAACCAAAGCUGGCGACCGGCGCACGGGUGAGUAACACGUAUCCAACCUGCCUCAUACUCGGGGAUAGCCUUUCGAAAGAAAGAUUAAUAUCCGAUAGCAUAUAUUUCCCGCAUGGGUUUUAUAUUAAAGAAAUUCGGUAUGAGAUGGGGAUGCGUUCCAUUAGUUUGUUGGGGGGGUAACCGG